rnacentral:tRNA from 1 species
GAGAGAUGGCUGAGCGGUCAAAGGCACCUGACUCGAAAUCAGGCGAGGUGAUGAGCCUCCGUGGGUUCGAAUCCCACUCUCUCC